UACUAGCCCUAGCAGCUAUUUCUGUCAGGACAUCAUAUGAUAAUGAAUGCCACGAAAAUCUGCUUAGUUAUAUUAUGUAGACUAUUUAUAGAAAUGUUAUGUGAUAGCAAAAGAGACUAUAAGUGAUAAGAUAAAAAAAUGGCAGAAAACAAAAAAGAGGGUGAUUUUAAAAUGAUUUGAAAGGCUGACUAAAAUCACAUUCAGAUAAUUUCUGUCUUCACUGUGAAACUUGAAUUUACAGGAAUUUAUGGUUUGACUUGAGUUUAGAACAAAGAGGAAUGUUAACAGUGAUCUUCAGCAAAUAACCAUAUGGUAUGGAACAGCAGGAUGAAUAGAUGAAUAUCCAGUGUCAGCAGAGUUCAUUGAAGGUGUUGUAAUCCUAGUUGUAUAUAGUGUGCUAUGUAGAAUGCAAAAUAACAGAGCAUUUUUCAGUAUUAAUUUCAGUACUAUGGUAAUGGUAAUUAAGAACAGGUGCAUAUAAGCUAGAAGAGAGACAUUGUGUGUGUUACUAAUUAACUCCUUUACAAUAGGAACUUUACAUAAUGAAAUGCAUAAUUAAGCAUCAAUGACCAAGAUCAUUACUGACAAUUUUAUUCCACUUACAUAUAAUUCUGGCCUAAGGUGAAGCCUCACGUUUUAGUGAAACUGUCUUUCACACUGCUGCUUUUUGGUUUGCUUUACAAUUACUUUGUAUUAUAGCCUUCAAAAUUCUUCUGGAUAUUCAUUUCUAAUGUGGAUUUAUAGAUUCAAUCCUGCUUCUAGCACUAACAAUAUGGGUGAUAAUCUAAUAAAUUACAUCAAAUUUUACGACGAAUAAGGAAAUCUUGUCCAGCAUUCAGUACAGAAUCCACCCAACCAGGUUGAUUUGGAAAUAAGGUAUACUACACAUUGACAGGAGGCUGCAUUAGAGUAUGCUCAGCAAUCACCAGAAUGGAGCCAAACUGCUGAAGAGACCUUUAACCUGCUUGUGUGCUGUAAUAUUUGUCCUGUCAAUGGAGGAAACUCACCAGUUGAUACAGAAACUACAGCUAUAUUUAAGUAGCUGAGAAGGCUGGAGCCACUGCAACACUUCUUCUUGGUCAGUAAUUUAAAAAUCUUGCUGCACAAAAUGCCAAUUACACAGAGAAAAGCAUACAAUGUUCCUAGGACUAUGUUUGUCCAUGCUUUGUGACAGGGAUUUGCCUUUAAUGACUGCAUUCCCAAGAAAUUAUUUUUUACCAUGUAUUACCAGUUAAAUUAUAUAUAUAUAUAUAUAUAUUUAUAUAUAUAUAAAGAUUCCUUUGUUUGUCCUCUACUGCUUUUCUGUAAUUGGUCAGGAUAUUAAAAGGCUGUGUUUAAAAUAUUAGCAUUCAUUUCCUUCAUACAGUGAAAACUCAAAAGGGAAAUAUCUCCAGAGGUUUGGGGGCAAACUCAACAGCUGUGGAGUGAGUAAAACAGCACAGGGCAUUCACUGAAUUUCUAGUACUUCUUACCAUAAUGUGAUCUGAAUCUCUCCUACCAGAUUCUGACUUAACUGUUCCUGCUGAUACUGAAAAAAAGCUGGUCUAAACAUAGCCACUCAAAUUAACACCUAUUGAAACUGGGGCAAUUUGUUAUACUCUAAACUGUGCUCUCCAUUUUAGAAUAAAUCAAAUUCUGUUCAUUGUGCUCCUGCAUUAACUUCAUGCAAAUACACUUAUUUUCCUGCAGUUAAUGGUAACUCUAUAUUUUUAUUUUCAGUGUCCAUACAAUACCUCCUAUCUCUUCCAGUACUGAUUAUUUACAAAAACUGCCAGAAUUGCAAAAGAACCUUACAAGAUUAAGGGAUGGGGCAAAUAAAAUUGCAGUGGAAUUAAGAGCACGUGAACUACACUGAGGCAGCUCCCAUGGAGAUCUAUGAUGUCCAGGCCCAUGAAAAGACAAGAGACAAGAACAGAGGAAGAUCUGAAGUGGAGCAGCGGCAACCAUGUCUCAAGGUCCUGUGGGUGCCCAGAGGAGCUGGCAAGGAACCUGGGCAGAGGGUUUAAGGAGACUUGCAAGGAUGCAAGCAGAGGAGGGCAGCCAUGCAGGCAGGGAAGGGAAAGACUGCUUAAGGCAGGGAUGGAGUGGAAGAGUUUACAGUUUCUAUGGCUUUUCAGUUCCUACUGCUUUGAACUGAAAUUGGGCCCUAGCUUUCUCACUUGGUAAAUAUAGACAGAAAAUUACAUUUCUGUUGCCACCACUUUCUUUCCACAAGUCACUUUGUUAAUUACAGACAGAAAGAACAUCAUUGUUUGGAGGUCUAACUCUAAAAACACACCAAAAGCAAGCCACCCACUAAGCUAACAUAUGCAAUAUUAAGGGAAAUUCCAUACUUCAGGGAAAUGGAAACAUUUUCUACAGAGCUCUAAUUGGUGGCUGUUUGAGAUUGCUUAGGGGCUUAAGAGAGUACGUUAAAACUCAAAGAAAAAGAGCUGUGGAAAUAUAACAGCAAAUAUCUAUGAUAUGCAAAUGUAUUACAUCCCUGCUCAGUUUCACUGGUUAUUUUUUGGAUAUGUAUCUGUGUAGAGCUACCACAAGAGCUAUAUACUUAAAAAAAAAAAAAAAAAAAAAAAGAAAAAAAAGAUAAGGCUUCUAAAAAUGUCUUUUUAUUCACAUGUUGGUAACUUGAACUGAGUGAUACACCUCAUCCUGUUUGCAUGCUGAGUGAGAGGUCCACAGGGAAAUAGGUUCCCUUGUAGAGGACACAAAAGCCAAAUUACUUUGGCACACUGAAAAACAGAAACAUUUCUUAUUUCAGCUUUGAAGAGUAAAAGGACAUUUGAGAAAUAAAUCCAACAGAAUCCCAGUUGAUUUGGAUUUACUGCAGGGGUGCAUAGGGAUUUACAUAAUGUUUUGAGGAAAAUUACUUUUGAAAACCAUGAACUAUAACUCCAAGAACAUAAUGCAGCAGAUUGAUUAUACAAACAUAGCUCAGCCAGAGCAGCAGUUUGAUCAUAUAGGGCAAUUUUAAAAUUAGAUUUUUUAUUCACAAUUAAAGGAAGAUUUUCAAAAUAAGUAGCAUUGGGUAGUAUCACAGACAUGACUAAUAUUUACUUAAAAACAUCAUCCAAUUUUCUUGCAGAUUUGAGACUGAUCCACUAACAGCUUGCACUGGGAAUAGAAGAGAUCUCAGCUGUAAAAUUUAGAUCUGGGUCUGAACUAAGAUUAGAUGUGUUUGGACUUGAGUUUUGGAAUACAAGAAUAACACUUAUUUGGGUAGCCAUGAUUUGAAUGCACCAGAUUUUGAUGACAUUCAUAUUCAGACAAGUUUCUGCAUAACAUGAAUAUUUCAAGACUACAGGACUUGAGUUAACUCAGACACAUCCCUGCACAACAUGCAAAAUCCUCCUCAAAAUAUCUGAAAGUUGCAUUAGUUCAGCAGACUAAAAAGGGUCUUGUAAUCUUGACUUUUGUUCACAGUUUCCUUGUUGGUUAUACUUAAGAAAAGGUUCCACUAAGCAUGCACAGUACCUAAUGCUGAAAUAUAAGUGAAUGAGAAGUACAAUAAAUAGUUUAUUUUUUGAUAUGUUCUUGGUGUUCUGCAUUUCUGCAAUACUGUCAGAAAACUUAUUCUUCCACUUGCUGUUGAACAAAUAAUGGUCUAGAUGGUAACAGUCUGCAUUGCACAAUGCAUAUAAAUGACUGCAACCUAUUUUUACCCUGAAUUGAAAUCAGAGACAGUCUUGCUAACAUAUAUAGUACUUAAAAUAUCUGUCUCAGUAUUUUGCAGAUCUCUACUGUGAAAAAUAUUGAUAUUUUGUUUCUCUUCAAUUAGAAUUAAAACCAACCAAACAAACCCCUCUCCCCCCCCCCAACAAAUCCAAACCCAAAUUCAGUUCAUUCUCUUUAAGGCAAAAAAUGAAAGCACUCUUUGUAGAAGGAAAGCAGAAUUUGGAACUUUUAUGGGAAAUCCACGUAAUCUUUUCAACCCUAUAUAAAGAAAACAGAAGAGCCAGAAACAGUAUAGGGAUGGGAGAAGAAACACAACCCGGAUCCUGAAUGGUAACAUAAUCAGGAGAAAAAGACUUGCUCUCCCUUUACCACCUCCAUUCCUCUUGUGCUGCCCAUUCCCCCCAACCCUGCAGCUCAAGUGCUUUGCUAGCUGUACAUCAGAGCUCCUCUAGGCCUGCUGGCCACUCAGCUGUUAUCACGCCUGUAAAAAUAAGUUUUGUCACCCCUUCCAAACAACUCCCCUAACAUCAGUGCUGCAUAUCCUGUUUUCCUUCCACAGCGUGGGAGAGAUUUUUCUUCUAAUCUCACCUAGCUGCCAUCUCUCAGUAUUCGUUUCAUAAAUUAGUAAGCCUGAAAUGGUCAAAGCCUGAGGGCUUUACUGACUGAUCCCAUUAGAAUCAAGUUUUAGAGAACAGACUCUCUCUUGUCAGAUACCUUAUCUGACUACUAUCGAAACACAGUACAUAAAUCCAAGCACUGCCUUUCUCUGCCACUUAUAAUGGAAAGCAAGACAUUGGGUUGACACUGAGGGCACGCUAUUCCUUCAGACAUUGAAGCAGAGGAGCAAAACCUUCUACCUGUCUCUUGUGCUUUAGACCUUCCUGAAAGAUUAAGAAUAACUGAUUAAAAAAAAAAAAAAAAAAAAAAACAACACAAAACAACAACAUUGUUUGAAAAAGCUGGUGCUAAUGCUUUACCUCUAUUUCUACACUAUGGACUAUGAAAUAAGUAAUAAGAAAUAACUAAAAAUUCCGACCUAAGUAGUUCUGAAUUACAAAGAAUAAAUAUCACCCAGAACAUAAUACAAGCAUAAAAUAAUAAGUCUUUAAAUGUAAACAAUAUAUUUUUAAAAAAUAAAUACAUAAUAAAUAAAAAGAAAUAUAUAUAUAUUAAAAAGAAAUAUAUAUAUAUUAAAAAGAAAUAUAUAAUACAUAAAAAGGAAUAUAUAUACAUAAAACAUACAUAUAAUAUAUAAAAAUGAGAAACAGAAUAAUCCAAAUCCAAAAGAAUCUAUGGAACAUUCAAGCCUAAUGACAGGUGUAUCCAUCAAAAGUACACUGCAGAAAAUACAUUACAGAAGUACUAAAAUAUCUUCUACUGGCCUGAAUGCUCCUCUAUCUUUAACCCUAUUUUAAAGAGAUAUUAGGGCUACUAGUCUCUAGAUACAUUCAGCAGAAACACAUAAACUCGUCUUGUCCCUACAAGUUAAGAGAAACCAAAUGCUUUUACCUGUAACAACUGGUUGAAUUAUACAAAAAGUACGUGUGAUAACAGAAGUGCUUAUGUGACUAACAGCAACAGAACAACUGCCUUCCUAGGUCAGACAACGUGCUGUAUUGAAAUUGAAUUAAAGCAGUGGGUUCACAGCAUCUAUCCCAUCCUAAAUGAAUGUCAGCGAUUCUAAUUUUCUGAGAACAUCUCUGUGCAAAUUUUUUGUCAGUAUUUAAAAUGUUAGUUUGAUGACAACAUGACAUAACUGCCUUUAAAUGAGUGAAUAAAAAUUCUCGAGGAGUCAUCUGGAAAAAGAUUGAUCAUGUCCGCUUCAAGUGUGUACAGUUUUUCUUUCUGUAUUAUUGGAAAACAUUCUGCAUACUACCAUGCUUUGUUUUAUAUAUUUUGCACUCUGUGUUAGAGAAUAUACAUUUCCAUGACGGUUGAAGAGAUUCCUCUUCAAUAUAUUUCUUUAGUCUCUCUUGGGUGCUGUAUACUGUAAGUAACUUUUAAGAUCCUCCAGUGUGAGACAGUCUAAUAAAACAUAUUGCCAGCUACUACUGUUAAUGAAGAAUGAGAAUGGACUAUAACGUUGAGCGAGAGAGAAUUCUGUAAAAAGAGGAAAACAUACACCACCUUUGCUUCAGUGGAAUCCAAGUAUGGAAACUGGCAUGUAAUAAAAGUUGACACUGCAUUUUAUUGCAUACACACAGACACUGGUACUUACUAGGGGGUAGCUAACUGCUUCAAUUUCACACUGCAGUUUGCUGUUCUGCACUUAUGCCCCAGCACAAAAGUCCUUUGAAACAUGGGUGACAUGGAAGACACUGAGAAAAUCUACACAUGUGCAUGGGAUAGUUGCAGCUUUGUUCCCUUCCUUUACCACACCUAGAUUCACAGGCUACUUGUGAAUGAGUUCUACGUGCACAAGGCUAAUGCCUCUUCAAACUGAAGAUCGCUUAGCUGAACCGUGGAGUGCAUGAUUGUUCACAGUAAGGCAUCUGCCAAAUGAGUAGCACAUAAACUGAGAACGGAUCCUAGGGGAAAUAAUAUGUAAGAGGAGUACUGCUGGUAGAAGACAGUUUAAAAUAUUCAUAAGGCUACUGAAGAAGGCUAAGCGAAUAUUUCAUGAGGAUGAAGAGAUGUGCUCACGGAGAAAAAAAAACAACGCGUUACUGUUAAGUCAGUUGCUAGAGUGAAAAACAUACCAGCUGCUUCCACUAAGAUCAAGCUUUAUAUAUCUUGUUUCAAAAGUGUUUGCAAGUUUCUGAUAUCCCCUAAGGGAUUUUUGUCAGUGUAUUCAUGACUGAGGGAAAUCAGCACACAGUUUGGCAGAUUGCCAUUCUGUGUGCAAGAUCAAUAUAAGGCUGGAAUAAUAGAUUACUGCAGACUGUGGAAAAACCUGCAAGAUUUGCUCAGGUCACUCAAAUCUCCACCAGCACCCUAUUCACUUGAGGAAAAUGGAAAAGAAUUACCAAGCUGCAGUAUACUCACAAGUGCAGAUUUGCACAGUGACAGGGAGGCAUAUCUUUUUGACGGGCUAGAGUGUGAAGAGGGCUUUUGGAGCACCUGGAAGCACAGCAACAGGCACACAGUCCAGUGCAUCAGAAGUGACCAGUUGCUGGAGGUGAAGUUUAUCUACACCCAGUCAGCUGCUAUAGAGUUGGACUUUGCAAAGGCUGCCGGAAAAGGUAAACCACAACUGCACAGGGGCAGGAAUGAUGCAGAACUGUAAAUGCAAAUCAGGAAGAGAACAAAGGGCCAUGUUGCCAACUCAGUAAGGAUGAUAACAUCUCUGUUCUGAGCUUUGAAGAACAUCUUUGCUAACCCACAGACAUCAUGGGAACCUCUCUCCCGCCCUUUGGGUUCUGAGCAUCCUGAAGGACACUGGCUGUUAAAAAGCCUUUAAAUUAUAAUUUUGUAUGUGCUGAGAUCCUGAAACUAUCAAUUAUCUUUCAAAUGUAAAGAUCAGUUUGCUUAUUUUCCAUUGCAGACUGACAGAUUUUCUUUCAUUUUAUACUAUUAAGAAUUUACCACAAAAAUGUUACAGUUUUACUUACAAAUUAUGAGGGAAAAAAAACAUGAAAUAACAUACAAAAGUCCCAGUGCCUUCUUUCCUCUCUCAUGUUUCUUGGAAGUCUUUACUUUUUCUGUUUCUUUUCACCUUUGUGAAUUCAAACUUUCAAGGAUAUGAUAUGAAAUCCUAGUCCUGCAGCUUGUUGCAGGCAAGUGAAUUUGUCUGGUACCUACAAUAUUAAAGGGUUAAAUCUCUCCAAAGCUGUGAAUUCUGUGUGAGCACCCCAUUCGAACUGAUGCUGGUGUAGAGCCUUCAUCUUAGGAGCAAUUUGGAGAUUAGAGGUAGUACUGCUAAUUUAGAGAACACCUGAAGAUUGGAACAAUAGUUGUAAAAUAAUUAAUCAAGAAGCCUAAAUAGAAUAAGGUAUUUUAAUUUAGACAUUUGAUCAAGUCUAAUUUUAUCUGCUGGAAAUAAUGAGUAUCCUUAACAAGCUUUUGCAUUUUACAGGAUACAGUCUCUAGAGAGUAUGAUCAGAAGACCUCAGUGCAGAAUUACAAGCUAAUCCCAUGCUGACACACAUUGUUCUAGCUCUUCACAUCAAAUAUGUUGUGCAGGAGGAAAGCAGUAUUUGCAACAAUCAUGAGAAUUAGAAAUAAGUUAUAUUAAUAGUUCCCCAUCUGUCAAGAGGAAAGCAAAACCUUACUGAAAAUCAGAAGUAUCAUUAACUGAGAUUCUUUCACUCUUGCUGCUAAAUAACAUUUAAAUUUAAAGGAUAUAUCUGUGAAUAAACUCAGUUAAAUAUCAGAACAUACUCCUGCAUCAAAGCAGAUUCAAAUGUAUGCAAAAAGUUCUUCCUAACCUUACUGCAUGCUUUCUCUUUAGUAAAAUAAAUGCAAGCAUCAUAGCCUUGAAACCAUAUGAACCCAAGUCACCCGCACAUCCCAGAAACCCUUCAAUGCGUGGUUUGUCAAAAUGCCAACAAAGAUGUGAAUUACACCUACUGCACUUAAGGUACUGGAGACAAUAUACAUGUUUGUCAGGUUACAGUGCAUGCAACAGCUCACCUGAGAGUUCCAAACAGGCUCUGUGCCUAAAACGUGUAUUGCUCUGCUUUCUGUAUCAAAACAUUCCUUUGGUACAAAAGGCUCCAAAUACGGCAGUUACAGAAGGUUUGGAGUGAUCAUCUAAUUAGCACUGAUACCUUUUACAUGGCUACUUUAACGAGGUUGAGCACAAAUGCAAUGGGGCAAAAGAAGAAAAUGUGAAACUGUAACAAUAGUUACAAAUAAACCAGGGCUUUUUGCAAGAUCCCAGACCAUGUUUCUUCUCAAAUUGCUACUAAUUAUUAUUAGAGGAAAUGAUUAUAAAUACGAUUUCUGAAAGAAGUAAAAAAAAAAAAAAAUGAGAUAAAGGGUAUUGUAUUCAUUUUUCCUAUGAAAUUUGUGAUUAU